UCUAGUGCUGUCAGUGGAGUACUGAAAUCCUCACUCUUAUUGUGUUACUGCCUAUUCCAUUUCUUAGGUCUAGCAAUAAUUGUUUUACAAAUUUGGGAGUUCCAGUGUUAGAUGUAUAUAUAUUUAGGAUUGUGGUAUUUUCCUGUUGGAACAGGGGUUUUACCAUUAUAUAACAUCCCUCCUUGUCUUUUUUAACUGCUGUUGCUUCAGAGUUUGUUUUGUCUGAUAUAAGAAUAGCUACUUCUGCUUGCUUUGGUGUCCAUUCACAGGAAAUAUUCUUUUUCCAUUCCCGUAAGUUUAUGUUAGUCCUUAUGUGUUAGAUGAAUCUCUUAAGGGCAGCGGACAGUUGGUUGGUGAAUUCUAAUCCAUUCUGCAAUGAGCAUUUAGGUCAUUUUCAUUUAACAUUAGUCUUGAUGUAUGAGCCAGCCAGCAGGUCUACCAGGCUCCAGGCUGGUACUGGGGUUGUCUGCCACAGAGUCCUGUGAUGUAAACAAUCUGCAGCUCUCUCAGCCAUGGAUACCAGCUCCAGCACCUGCUCCCAUGCAGGUGGCAGCUUGGGCAUUCACAGUAUUUGGGCUGUCUACGGCAUCCUGCAGCAGCAAUCCACUUCCUUCUGAAGAUCUCUUCCUCCAGCACAACACUUGUUCUGAGGAAGACCAAAUGGUAUGUCAUGCGGACACUCAGGCAGCCCUGUGAAGAGGUCCAUGUGAUAAGGAACUGAUCCUUCUGACAAUAACCAACAAGGAACUUAGUCAUCCUGCCAACAGCCAGGGAAGGGACCCAUCUUUAAAGCUGAGCUUUUAGCUACAAUUGGGCCUUCAGAUAAAUGCAGCCCUGGCCAACCUUGUGAGACUCCUUAUGCCAGAAUCAUCAAGUUAAGCCACUCUUGGACUUCAAAAACAGCAUGAGAUAAUAAAUGUUUGUUGGUUUUAGUUACUAAUUUUUGGAUACAUUUUUAUAUAGCAAUAGAUAAUGAAAACAGAUAUUGGUGGCUGUAAGUUGGGCGCUCUCACAGCAAAUGAAUAAGAAUGUGGGUGUGGCUUUGAAAACUGGCAGUGGGAAAAUCUUAAAGGAGUUUGAGGAGAUGGUUAGUGAAAGCACAAAGUGCCUUAAGUGGACUGUUAGCAGAUGUCUAGAUUUUGUGGAGUCUUCUAUCAAGGGCUUAAAGGAAAAUUAGGAACAUGUUAUUGAAAACUGGAGGAAGGGGAAUUCUUGUUAUAUAGUGGCAGAAAGUUUAUCAUCACUGUGACCUGUAGUUAUAUUGAAAUAUACCUAAUGAACUGGGUGAACUAGCCAGCCGCCAUCUGGUUUCUUCUUGUUGCUUAUAAUACAGUGAAAAUAAUAAGGAAAAAAUACCCUGUGAAGUCAAAGAGCUAGGAGUUGCUAUUUUGAAGUUUACCAGUCUCACCAGAUUACAAAUGAUGCUAGAAUUAAGCAGUGUUUCCAAGCAAGGAUGAAACACAGGACGCUGUGAGAAAAGCUUGGUCCAAAUUUGAAGCACAGGGUAUGGCUUCCACCUUCAUUAGAAUUAUUUUUGAAGACCUCAGAGAGGUCUGAGGUGGUGCAUAAGAGGACCAUUCAAUCAAAAGGCCAUAUAAACAGCUUAAUGACAUGCUUCACUGAGGCAUAUCUACCAACAGUAGUAUUUCUAAGAUGUUUAUUUCUCAGCCACCUGAGCAGAAGCUUAACAGAAAAGGGGAAGGCCUAUCCUGAGGAGACUCAUGAGCAUAUCUUUAAUCUAAUGGAGUAAACCCUCACUGAGAUUCACAGAAAACUCAGCUUUUAAUGAAAUUGUGUUUUCAGAAAACUUUCAGCUUAGACUGAAAGGGACAGGGAGAAUAUAUAAUAAAAGAGAUCUUAAGUCCUCAAAAUUCUGGCAUGAAACUGGAUGAGAAACUAUGCAACUGCAAACAUGGCUUACUAUUCUUGAAAAAGGAAGAUGAUUCAGAGAAUGGAACCAUGAGCCCAGAGGGUGUAGCCUACCUCAGUUCUAGGUGGGAGUAGAACUGAGCUCUGAUCAAGGAAUUUCCAACGUUUGCCCAGCUGAAUUUGCAGAAUUACUACAGGUGAGUGACCCCUUGCCUCUCCAAUCCCCUCUCUCCUUUUAACAGGGAUUGUCUUAUGCCUUAUACCUAUUAUUGUAUGAUUGGCAUAUUAGUUGGAAGAUAACUUAUCUCUCUAGUUCAUAGGUUUUCAGAUCUAGGGAAACUAUGCUUGAGGAGCUGUACUAAUCAAACCCAAGGAACCUCAAAUGCACCUGAAUUUAGAUGAUAAGAUUCGGAACUUCAGGUUGAUCUUAUAAUGGUAUAAAACAUUUAAGAUCCCUGAGAGGGGAGGAUGUAUUUUGUAUAUAGAAUAAAUACUUUGUGACAAUGGGAUUAACAGUGGGUUUUUUUUUCCAAAUAUGUCCAAAAACUUUUGAUACUGCUCCCUCAAGAAAUACAGCCAAAUUUUCCUCCCCUCAGUCUGGAAUGGACAUAGCAGUUUUCUUCUAAUUAACACAAAAAAAGCAAAAGCAGUGGUAUGUAACUCCAGAGACAAGAGUUACAUAGAGAAGGCACUGUAACUUUUUUUCUCUAUCUUGGGUCACUCACUCUGGGGUAACCCAGCUGCCACACCAUGAGAAUGCUCAAAUGCCCUUACAGAAAUACCCAUAUGAUGAAAAACCGAGACCUACUGCCAAUCACCAGCAAGGAUAUAAGGCAUCCAUAGAAAAAGCUUAGAAAUGGCUCUUCCAGUUCCAGCUUAGCUGUCAGAUGAGUGCUACUCCAGUCAACAGCUUGAUUUGCUACCUCAUGAGAGACCAUAAGCUUAAACCAUCCAGCUAAACUAUUUGUGGACUCUCUAUCCUUAGAAACUGUGUUAGAUAAUAAAUAUUUGUAGUUUUUAACUAUUAAGUUUUGAGGGUAAUUUGUUACACAACAAAAGAUAAAUAAUGAAUUAGGGAUAAAUAAAUUCUGUAUCAUCUGAUAAUUCAGAAAUAACAGAAGUAAUCAAAAAGUAGAGAACUGGAGUGGGGAGAGGAAAAGAAAAAACAUUUCAUUGAUUAUCGUGAAGAUGGGCAUCAGAGAAUAUAAUAAGCUGAGAAAUCAAAUACUAAAAGCCGAGUCAUAAGUAAAUGAUAAACACUUUGAAAGCUAAUACUAUCAGUUCAAACUGAAUGAGAGGAGGGUGAAGAGAGAUGGGAAAAAAAUUCUAAUCAAAUGAAAUGAUUAAUUACUAAAAAAUUUUUUGAGGUGGAGUCUCACUCUGUCGCCCAGGCUGGAAUGCAAUGGCAGGAUCUCAGUUGACUGCAACCUCCGCCUCCCAGGUUCAGGCGAUUCUCCUGCCUCAGCUCCUGAGUAGCUGAGAUUAUAGGUGUACACCAGCAUGCCCAGCUAAUUUUUUGUAUUUUUAGUAGAGACGAGGUUUCACCAUGUUAGUCAGGCUGGCCUUAUGAUCCGCCUGCCUCAGCCUCCCAAAGUGCUGGAAUUACAAGUGUGAGACACCUCGCCCAGCUGAUUAAUUACUAAAAUUGAAAAUGGAUUCAUUGGAACUUAAUUGGAGUGUAAAAUAAGCAGAAGAGCUAAAUUUCUCACUGAUAUGGUCAGAAAAAAUGUUAUGAAGCUCAAUUUUUUUGCCUAGAUAUAAACUAUGGAUUCAUGACCAAAAAAAUACGUUAUUAUUCUCUUCCUCCUGUAAAUGUGACCAAUUCGCUACAGUUAAUGAUCUAAUUAUAAGGCAAUGUCUCCUUUUAACGAGAAGAUAUUUUAGUUAUUUAUGUGCUUUUCUGCUUGGCUAAUAUAAAGAGUAUAUUAAAUUUAUCAGGAUAUUAUAUAGUCACUUUCAUAGAUGAAAGAAAGACUAUAGUUCCCUAGACAGUAGAAAUAAAAUAAUCUAGAAUGAAAUAGCCCAUAUGUAUAUUAAAAUAAAAUUUGUAAAAAUGAAGCUUGCCAGAUAUUAGUAGAAAUGAUCUCAUUAUGAAAUCUUCAGGUUCUCAUUUCUUGGAAAAGCCAUAAUUAUAACCUUAUCU
ensembl:lncRNA